CGAGAAGAAGAAGAAAACGACGACGUCACGGAAGUAAACAAAAGCAUGUCGAACAGACCGACUCAAUCAAGAGAAAUGAACGGCCAAGCUGACGUCGAAGUCGACUACAAGCGGAAAUACAAAAACCUCAAACGAAAAUUAAAAUUUCUCGUUUACGAGCAGGAAUGCUUUCAGGAGGAGCUGAGGAGGUCGCAGAGAAAGCUUCUCAAAGUGUCCAGAGACAAAAGCUUCCUUCUGGACAGACUGCUGCAGUAUGAGAGGGUGGAUGAAGACUCCUCCGACUCGGAAGCGACAGUUUCUUCAGACAACAGUGAAGGAGACGGCCCCAGGGAGAGGGAACGAGAACGAGACGGAGCAAAAAAGCGAAGAAAUAGUCCUGGGUCGUGUCUUCCCUCAUCAUCCUCCCCUCAUCUGUCCCUGCUGUCCCGUCCCGGUAUAAAUCCCCUGCAGUCAUCAGGCUCUGGACCCUACCUCAACACCGUGAGUUUCCAUUUCCCUUUCUUUUCUCUGAGUCGGCAACAUUUGCCUGACUGCCUCCGUCAUCUCCUCGUCAGCAAACAUAAUCCCUGUUUUGAUUUGGCAUUGUUUAUACAAUUUGAUUAUUUUGUCAUUUUAUCCACGAGUUUGUUUUAUCUCUUUAUUUGUUCAGUUGUUUGUUUGAUGCUUAUUAUAGCUUCAUUGUCCUUGCAUUGUUCAUUCUUCUGUGUAUGUUUUUUGUGUGCGUCUGUUUGUCUUGUAAAUGGCUUAUGCCUGUGUGCAUGUGGUCAUUUGGCCAUUUGGGGCCUGCAUGUGUGUUGGGCAGAUGCCCUUCCCACCAGAGUAUUUGGCUCCCCCAGCUGAGCGAAUGAAGAAAGAGAGAAAAACAAAGACGCCUAAAAACAAGAGAGACACAACGGGGAAGGUUGUUGCCGCAAUGGCAGCUAAUUACCCAUCAGCCCCUGCGGCCCCUCCGGCAGGCAGCGGCCCCUUCAGCUGGGUUCCCAGGCAGAUGCUGAGUGGAGAUGCAGCUGAGGAGGAGGGAGAGAGCGAUGGAGACAGCGACAGAGGGGAUGAAGACAGAGGGGAGGGAGACGAGGCUGAACUGGUCAUUGACAUCCCUAAUGAGUGAGAGCCGGUGUGUGUUUAAGAUGUAUUUAUAAGCAAGUGAUGGAAGGUUUGUACAUCUGUAUGUGAGAGAGCGAAAGACAGAAUGGGACUGAAUGUAUUUUCCGUAUUUCUAGCGUAUUAGCUCAUUUCAAAACAAAAGGAGGGCUUAGCUCCCCCCUGUGGACUUUUGCUUCAUUGCAAUAUCACUGUUAAAAAUAUCUCCCAAAUGAAUGUGGUUUUCCAAAAUUAUGUUAAGAAAUAAAUCUGUGACAAAACAAGAGUUUGUAAGCUUUAAAAAAAAUAAAAAUAAUAAUCCGCUGCCACUGGAAUGAUAGGAGACUUUGCUUUUUAAGAAGUUUCAAGCUGGAGGCUGAUUAUUCUUUGAAUAUACAGCCAAGCUAUCUAUAAACUGUGACUGCAACUAGGUGGGUCCUGCACAAACACUGCUUUUCUUUGUCUGUUUGUCAUUGUCCAAACACUAUCUCAGACUUGGAAUGCAUUAAUACUGCAGUCCAUUAAAGCUGUUUUAGUGUGAUUCAGAUUUUACAAAUGUUACAUCAUCUUUGCUCGUUAGACGCAGCUUUGUCAUUUUAACUUCUACUGUUUUUUGUUGUUUAACAACUUGUCAAAAAUCAAAGCGAUGUCAUGUUAAUUGAAAUGUAUUUUUUUGCUCCUAUCAAAUUGUGUGCGUCAGAGAAUACAAUGUAAAAUGUUAUUUCAGAUCACUAAAAGUUUUUGUUUAUAGUUAAA